CCCAGACCUCAUUUAAGGACAGGCAGUGGGGGUAAGGGUAUCUCACUGGAGAUCCCUGCCUAGUGGUGGUCUUCUGAAGGGGAGAACCACCCUGUGAAAGAAGACUGCAGCAGUGAAAGUUUGGGGUAUUUUCUGCGUCUCUGGAGCUGACUUCUGUGGGCAGACGAAGGACAAGCAGACAGCGCAAGUGUCUAUAGCUCAGGGUUUUGAAAUGGCAAGGCAUACUGUUCAAGGAUCUCUCUACCAAUUUUAACUAACAAACAUGGCGUGAUCAGGCCAAUAUUAUGGACAGCAACAAAGAAGAGUACACUUUGUCUCACCAGUCUCAUGGAUAUAACUUUCUGCUUACAGCUGUAUUUGGCUAAGACCUGUAGGUGGUUAUAGACUUUGACUCAGUGGCUGGGCUUGGAUGGGAGCCUUCUGGCUUACACUCCUAUGCUCCAACCAUCUAAUCCUUUAGCCCAAAGGAAACUGCGGUGUCCCUGCAGACCCUUGAAUAGAUGCCCCAGGGGAACAGAAGAUUGAGCAUGCUGCCUUCAGCCAUUGGCACUAAUUUGCCAACUUAGUAGAGAUGACAAAAGAUGAAGUGGGGAGUCCACGCCCAUCUCAGGUAAAAGAAUUGCCUGUUUCAAGAUAACUGGGAAACACUGAUAGGACAAAAUAGAUGGGAGAAGAACAAGACUCCUUUCUUGUCUUGUGGAUUUCAGUCAAAGAACCAGAUCAAUGUUUUCUCACCAUAGGUAGGUUUGAUGUUCUGCCUUCUCUUUGAGCAUAAAGCAGAAAACAAAUGCUUCCCUUUCACCUGUAAAUGCUAGGAGGACUUUGUAUGGACAUGCUUAUUUUAGAAGGAAGAAAGUUCAGAGUCACUGUAGACUAAGUUAGAAAAAGAGGAGAUAAAUUGAAUUGGCUUCCCAAACCACCCAGAUUGUACUCCACAAAGGAGUCUGUGAAUUCUUACUAAGGUCAAUUGAUUUUAAA